AGCGAACGCUGGCGGCAGGCCUAACACAUGCAAGUCGAACGAACUCUUCGGAGUUAGUGGCGGACGGGUGCGUAACACGUGGGAACGUGCCUUUUGGUUCGGAAUAACUCAGGGAAACUUGUGCUAAUACCGAAUGUGCCCUUCGGGGGAAAGAUUUAUCGCCAUUAGAGCGGCCCGCGUCUGAUUAGCUAGUUGGUGAGGUAACGGCUCACCAAGGCGACGAUCAGUAGCUGGUCUGAGAGGAUGACCAGCCACACUGGGACUGAGACACGGCCCAGACUCCUACGGGAAGCAGCAGUGGGGAAUCUUGGGCAAUGGGCGAAAGCCUGACGCAGCAAUGCCGCGUGAAUGAUGAAGGUCUUAGGAUUGUAAAAUUCUUUCACCGGGGACGAUAAUGACGGUACCCGGAGAAGAAGCCCCGGCUAACUUCGUG
rnacentral:rRNA from 1 species